GACGAACGCUGGCGGCGCGCCUAACACAUGCAAGUCGAACGGAGUCAAGAGGAGCUUGCUUUUCUUGACUUAGUGGCGAACGGGUGAGUAACGCGUGAGUAACCUGCCCUGGAGUGGGGGACAACAGUUGGAAACGACUGCUAAUACCGCAUAAGCCCACGGAUCUGCAUGGAUCUGCGGGAAAAGGAUUUAUUCGCUCUAGGAUGGACUCGCGUCCAAUUAGCUAGUUGGUGAGGUAACGGCCCACCAAGGCGACGAUUGGUAGCCGGACUGAGAGGUUGAACGGCCACAUUGGGACUGAGACACGGCCCAGACUCCUACGGGAGGCAGCAGUGGGGGAUAUUGCACAAUGGGGGAAACCCUGAUGCAGCGACGCCGCGUGGAGGAAGAAGGUUUUCGGAUUGUAAACUCCUGUCGUUAGGGACGAUAAUGACGGUACCUAACAAGAAAGCACCAGCUAACUACGUC
rnacentral:rRNA from 1 species